rnacentral:lncRNA from 10 species
GGGGGAGUCGCCUUAGGAGGUCAGCUGACCACGUGGAGAGGAGGCUCUGAGAGGUCAGCUGACUGUCUGGGGAGCAGGCUCUGGGAGGUCAGUUGACCACGUGGAGAGGAGGCUCUCGGAGAUCGGCUGACGGCGUAGGGAGAAGGCUCUCUGGUCGGCUGACCGCCUGGAGAGGAGGCUGUGGGAGGUUGGCUGAUCCCCUGGGGAGGAGGCUCUGGCAGUUACACGUUGUCUUCAGAAAAAGAGAUUCCCCAGAGCCCCACACAGUGCCUGGCAAAUGUAGCAUGACACAAUUCCUUCAAGACUUCCCAGCCUGCAGGAGGGAGUCGCUGGCUAAACCUGGAUACAGGCCGGGAUGCUACAACUUGCUGGUUGCUCAACUCUAGAUGGUCAACUGUCCGUUCCCAGAGCUUUGGUUUCCUCAUGCUGGCAGAUCAUCACUGAUGUCCAUUCCUUCCAGGUGUUUAGUUCGUAGGCCAGUCCUGAGUUGUUGAGUGAGAAAGUAGGAAGAGUACGCAGUGAUAACAUGAGGAGCAGAACAGAAGACUCUUUUGUGUGACCUGGAACCAAAGGUCAUCAUGCUGGGGCAGAGUGUGGAUAGGAGGCAGAAGGGACUACAUUUCAUGAGCACUUGUUAUAUAUAAGAAGUGUUAUUGGCUGGGCGCGGUGGCUCACGCCUAUAAUCCCAACACUUUGGGAGGCCGAGGCAUGAGGAUCACCUGAGGUCGAGAGUUCGAGACCUCGAGACCAGUCUGGCCAACAUGGUGAAACCCUGUCUCUAUUAAAAAUACAAAAAUGAGCUGCGCGUGGUGGUGUAUGCCUGUAAUCCCAGCUACUUGGGAGACUGAGCAGGAGAAUCGCUUGAACCCAGGAGGCAGAGGUUGUGGUGAGCUGAGAACAUACCAUUGCACUCCAACCUGGGCGACAGAGCAAAACUCUGUCAAAAAGAAAAAAAAAAAAAAAAAAGAAGUGUUAUUGAUGUAUAAUAAAAGCUAAUGUCUGCUGUGCCCCUUUCGUAUGCCUGGAGCUAUGCGUGUACUUUCCAUAUGCAAUCUCAUUGAGCCCAGCAACAAUCCAAUGGGAUGAGGACAGUUGUGCCCAUUCAACAGGAGAGAAAACUGAAGCCUUAGAGGUCACACAGCUCUAGGUGAAGAAGUCAGAACCGCAACCCAAGUCCAACCUGAGAACCUGAGCUCUUGACCACUAACUAAACUCUAACACCUCUCAUUCACUGAGUAGGGAUCUGAAUCCAGGAGACGUAAGUAAUUUGUCCAAAGUCACGUGGCUAAUAAGCAGCAGAGUGAGGAUUUGAAAGCAGAUUUGUCUG